AUUGAACGCUGGCGGCAGGCCUAACACAUGCAAGUCGAACGGUAACAGGAAGCAGCUUGCUGCUUUGCUGACGAGUGGCGGACGGGUGAGUAAUGUCUGGGAAACUGCCUGAUGGAGGGGGAUAACUACUGGAAACGGUAGCUAAUACCGCAUAACGUCGCAAGACCAAAGAGGGGGACCUUCGGGCCUCUUGCCAUCGGAUGUGCCCAGAUGGGAUUAGCUAGUAGGUGGGGUAACGGCUCACCUAGGCGACGAUCCCUAGCUGGUCUGAGAGGAUGACCAGCCACACUGGAACUGAGACACGGUCCAGACUCCUACGGGAGGCAGCAGUGGGGAAUAUUGCACAAUGGGCGCAAGCCUUAUGCAGCCAUGCCGCGUGUAUGAAGAAGGCCUUCGGGUUGUAAAGUACUUUCAGCGGGUAUGAAGGGAGUAAAGUUAAUACCUUGGCUCAUUGACGUUACCCGCAGAAGAAGCACCGGCUAACUCCGUG
rnacentral:rRNA from 1 species